UACGUAGGGUGCAAGCGUUAUCCGGAAUUAUUGGGCGUAAAGAGCUCGUAGGCGGUUUGUCGCGUCUGCUGUGAAAACCCGAGGCUUAACCCCGGGUCUGCAUUCGAUACGGGCAGGCUAGAGUGUGGUAGGGGAGAUCGGAAUUCCUGGUGUAGCGGUGAAAUGCGCAGAUAUCAGGAGGAACACCGGUGGCGAAGGCGGAUCUCUGGGCCACUACUGACGCUGAGAAGCGAAAGCAUGGGGAGCGAACAGG
rnacentral:rRNA from 1 species